GACGAACGCUGGCGGCGUGCUUAACACAUGCAAGUCGAGCGGUAAGGCCCUUUCGGGGUACACGAGCGGCGAACGGGUGAGUAACACGUGGGUGACCUGCCCUCAGCUCUGGGAUAAGCCUGGGAAACCGGGUCUAAUACUGGAUAUGACUCCAUGACGCAUGUUGUGGGUGAAAGCCUUGUGCGGCUGAGGAUGGGCCCGCGGCCUAUCAGCUUGUUGGUGGGUGAUGGCCUACCAAGGCGACGACGGGUAGCCGGCCUGAGAGGGCGACCGGCCACACUGGGACUGAGACACGGCCCAGACUCCUACGGGAGGCAGCAGUGGGGAAUCUUGCGCAAUGGGCGAAAGCCUGACGCAGCGACGCCGCGUGAGGGAUGACGGCC
rnacentral:rRNA from 1 species